CGAGAUUGCGCCACUGUACUCCAUCCUGGGCCACAGAGUGAGAAACCGUCUCAAAAAAAAAAAAAAAAAAAAAUAGGCCAUAGCCUGAGCUUAGCCUGCUGGCCAUAGUCUACAGACCCAUGCUAUAAUACACGAGUAACUGGUGUGAGUAACUACACACAGACAGAAAAGCACCCAGUGAACAGUGCCUUCAUUUCUCGAAUUUCCUGCUUUCUGUCAACAUGCAUCACACAGUUACAUGCUCUUCCUGUGGUUGCAAUCAGUUUAUCUUUGCAUUCUGCUGUUUUAAAAUUUAACGCCCAUUUCUGUGGAUUGGCAUAGCCCACAUUCUUGUGAAUCACCCACAGUGAUUCCUGCAGUGUUGUCCCCAGCCUCAAGCCUCUCUGCACCGUAAUUGUGCUUCUUUUCCUCAGAUACCUGCCUUGCAUUGGCCCUGGGUAAAUGUUUCCCUUGGCUGUGAAUAGGCAAUUAAAAUUCUGAACCUUUUAUGGCUCUGGAAGCUUAUCCGAUGAAACAAUACUCAUCCAGGCGGAUGGCCCACCAGCGCAAAGGGCUGAAAAGUUCCAUGGCAGCCUCAUAACUGGAGGGUGUGUCCAUGAGGAGGGUUUCGAUGACACGCUGAAAGCUCGGGCAGAUCUCUGCAGAAGCUGCAACACAGAGGAGAGAAGGCACAUGUCUCCAGGCCCCUUUCCAAGCUGGCUAGCCCUCUGGCUGGGUCUGCCCAGAUGCAAACAGCCAGGCCCAUCAGCGAGAGAUAGCAGCCUUUUCAUCGAUGGACUAGAGUGUAAGAUUUGUGGAUUGCCCGAGUCUUCCUUAGACUUCUUGGGUUGAGGUGAGCAAGGUGCCGUUUUUCUUUCUGUUGGAGAUCAAGGCAGAGUAUUGAUCAUAGAAGCUGCUGGCCUGAUUUUUUAAUGCAGUGUGGAGGCUGGGAAGAGGCCACUGAGGGUUUUAUUUCCCACCAGAAACUUGCCUCUCAUCAGUGGUUAGAGAUGCCCUGAGCCAUGCUUCACUGGGGGCAUGUGACAAAUUCAGGCUCUGGCAGGAAAAAGCGAUUGUAAGCCAGGCACGGUGGCUCACACCUGUAAUCCCAGCACUUUGGGAGGCCGAGGCAGGCAGAUCACGAGGUCAGGAGUUCGAGACCAGCCUGGCCAACAUGGUGAAACCCCGUCUCUACUAAAAAUACAAAAAAUUAGCCGGGCGUGGUUCUGGGCACCCGUAAUCCUAGCUACUCAGGAGGCUGAGGCAGGAGAAUCACUUGAAUCCAGGAAGCAGAAGUUGCAGUGAGCUGAGAUCUCGUCACUGCACUCCAGCCUGGGCAACAGAGCGAGAUUCUGUCUCAAAAAGCAAGCAAGCAAGCAAGCAAGCAAGCAAGCAAGAGAAAAGAAAAAGAAGAAAAGAAAAGAAAAGAAAAGAAGCCAUUGAGAUUGUACCAGCCAAACAUGGGCCCCCGAACCUGGCCGGGAAGAGGUGUGCACAUGUGCACAGCGGGCCCUGUGGCACACUCAGCUCAUGGACAGAGCAGCCACUUGUACCACUUCAUUCCCUUCAACACAGAGCUUCCAGACUCUGUUUUCUUCUCAGGUCCUUACAACCAGGAACAUGGGGGAAAGUCACCAUUUUCUACCCACUGCUUGCCUCCAUCUUCCCAGGCUGAGGCCGCUGUAAGCCAAGGUACGCAACGCUUGCUAAACAGGAAUCCCUGGAAUGAAUCCAUGCAUGAGGCCUUUGUGCCAUGUGACAGUUGAAGGCUGUGGUGACCCCGGAACCGUCCCACUCCGAGACGCCUUAACACCGUUUUUCUGCUGUUACAAACCACAGAGCAACGCGUGUGCCUCCUCCCGCCCUGGGGACUCUUUCUGUGGGAGAGGUGCCUGGAUUUAGAGGAGCGACCACUCUUCAUUUGUAGGAUCUUGGUCACUUUCCCAGUUGUCACUCGGCCCACAAACUAGGAUGUGAGCAGCAUAUUAAGAAUCUGCAGAGAUGUUCCCGUCUGCCCGGCAUAUGGAUGUCCUUCUGGGCUGCAAAGUGGCAUCCUGUGGGCAACUCCCCCCACAACAACCAGCUGUGAGCUGUGCCCAGGCACAGAGGGACCUGGCUUUCCCUGUUUCUGCAGAUGGAGCCCAGGGUUUCAGGGAGGGAGGGGGCAGGCUGGGACCUGUUGGGGAUCUGGGCACUUUCUCAUGCUCCUUGAGCUGCAAGUCAUAGAAGGAGUGGGGUGGGAGCUGGGAAUGUACCUUCCCAAGGCCACUGGCAGAACCAGCAGGCCCUUUGCUCUGGGAUGAGCUCCCUCUGAGGGGUGGGGACAGUAAAGCGGACCGAAGUCCCUGUUCUGCGGGAUGGAAACUGGCUCCCCUCCAUUGUACAGGCCAGCUCUGGGGAUUUGGGCAGCAGAUUUGGGGUUGACAGCAGAAUGACAUGAUCACCAGUUGACCUUGGCCAGGAUGCCAGCUUACUUUCUCGCUUACUUCUGCAGGUUCUUUGUUCUGCGGGUGAGUCACCCAGGUCCUGCCCUCCGUGCCUGUCUGCCCUCUCCCACUUUCCCUGCCCUGAGCUUGUUCCCACUUGUAGAUUUGGCAGGUCACUGCCAAGGCCCCUAUUCCCCCAACAUGGCCAGUGCCCUAAGGGUGGGUUGUACAGGGAGGAGCUGGCGUGGUCAGUAGACUUGAAUCAGGGACAACUCGGCUGCUGAAGGCUGAGGGGGCCUUGCAGGGCUGCAGGUGCCUUGUGCACACAGGGAGUGGGUAGAGAAGGCAACCAGGGGCUCCUUCAGGCCUUAAUGCUCUGCAGCCCAGUGAGGCUGUGCCCAGAGAGUCUGGCGAGGCCCUGGUCUGCUCCCCCAGCCAAUGGCCUGAUGCUGUUCCAUCUGGGCACCCUGUCACUUUUCGUUCAUCAGGGAGUACAGGGUGAUUCAGGGUCUCAAAUGCAGGUGUUCACAAAAUGAAAUAGAACUUCCCUCUAUCCCCGUGCUUCUUUUUAUUUUUAUAACAAAUAUACAUCGUUAUAUUUUAUUUUUAUAUUUAUGUAUUUUAUAUAUAUGUGACAUCUACUACAUGACAGAAAAUAUUUAUGGCCAGGCAAGGUGGCUUACACCUGUAAUGCCAGCACUUUGGGAGGCUGAGGCAGGCGGAUCACCUGAGGUCGAGAGUUGGAGACCAGUGUGACCAACAUGGAGAAACCCCAUCUCUACUAAAAAUACAAAAUCAGCUGGGGGUGGUGGCGCAUGCCUGUAAUCCCAGCUACUCGGGAAGCUGAGGCAGGAGAAUCGCUUGAACCGGGGAGGCGGAGGUUGUGGUGAGCCGAGAUUGCACCAUUGCACUCCAGCCUGGCAACAAGGGAUAAACCCCGUCUCAAAAAAAAAAAAAGAAAAAAAAAAAGAAAAAAAUAUUUAUAAUGUAACUAAUAUAGCUAAAAUAAAAUGUAAUUUCAGUCUCAAGCCUUCAUUCUGUUAAGGGGACAGAAACUUAAUCUUGGUCAUCUUGGGGUCUCCCUCCCUGGGGCUGUGCCUGACUUCCAGGGGGCUCGGCGUUGGCAGGAUUUCUGGUGCUUGAGGUCACCUGUCAGCCUGUCUCUUGUCAUUGGCUAUCCGCCGUGCCAUCUGCUCCUGUGUGUCCUUGGCACUGUUCGCAUGUCUCCAGCUCGCUGGCUUUCUCUGCCACCUUGGAGCCACUCCUGGGUGCACAGGAGUCUUACUGCUCCCACGCUGUGCUGGGGCCUGGGAAGACUGCUGUGGCCUACCUGCCUCCGUGUAGCACACACACCCAUUUCUUCUUCUUCUUCUCCUUCUCCUUCUUCAGACAGAGACUCACUCUGUCACCUAGGCUGGACUGCAGUGGUGCCAAAUUGGCUCACUGCAACCUCCGCCUCCCGGGUU
rnacentral:lncRNA from 10 species